UUAAGAAGUCCUCGGCCAACUUGC
rnacentral:siRNA from 1 species